GGAUGAGCCUUUUUGAUAUCUAUCGAUGCUUUAAACCUCAGGUUGCAAAAGAAGAGCAACCGCUAUCAGUAAUUUAUGGCGAAUGCUUUAUAUGUUUGCCCAUAUUGCUAUAGCGAGUAUUUUUCGAUAAAUAGUGAAAACUUUAAUGUGGAGCUUCAUGAAUUCCAACUUUCUGAGGAACCCAAGAUUGAGCCUCAAUGGGCCUUAAUAAUUAGUAGUACAA
rnacentral:lncRNA from 1 species